rnacentral:rRNA from 1 species
UACGUAGGGUGCAAGCGUUAAUCGGAAUUACUGGGCGUAAAGCGUGCGCAGGCGGUUUUGUAAGUCUGUCGUGAAAAUCCCCGGGCUCAACCUGGGAAUUGCGAUGGAGACUGCAAGGCUAGAAUCUGGCAGAGGGGGGGGGUAGAAUUCCACGUGUAGCAGUGAAAUGCGUAGAGAUGUGGAGGAACACCGAUGGCGAAGGCAGCCCCCUGGGUCAAGAUUGACGCUCAUGCA